UGGGGGAAACGCAGGAUCGUGGGCUGUGUCCACCCGGCGCCCUGGGAUCCGGGGCCUGCACUGCUGGAAUCGUGCUCCUGGGGCCGCCUCUCCCG
rnacentral:pre_miRNA from 1 species